GACAGAGGUGCCAAGCGUUAGGCGGAAUCACUGGGCUUAAAGCGUGUGUAGGCGGAUGUCUAAGUACCUUGUGAAAUCCCACGGCUCAACCGUGGAACUGCUUGGUAUACUGGGCGUCUUGAGCCAUCUAGGGGUUACCGGAACAAAUGGUGGAGCGGUGAAAUGCGUAGAUAUCAUUUGGAACGCCAAUGUGAAAACAGGUAGCUGGGGAUGUGCUGACGCUGAGGUGCGAAAGCGUGGGGAGCAAACAGG
rnacentral:rRNA from 1 species